rnacentral:rRNA from 1 species
UACGUAGGUGGCAAGCGUUGUCCGGAUUUACUGGGCGUAAAGAGCGCGCAGGCGGUCGUUCAAGUCGCGUGUGAAAGCCCCCGGCUCAACUGGGGAGGGUCACGCGAUACUGAUCGACUCGAAGGCAGGAGAGGGUAGUGGAAUUCCCGGUGUAGUGGUGAAAUGCGUAGAUAUCGGGAGGAACACCGGCGGCGAAGGCGGCGACCUGGGUCGAUACUGACGCUGAGGCGCGAAAGCGUGGGGAGCAAACAGG